AUUCUCUGUGUUGCAGAGACACCAUGGACAGAGAUCAACAAGAGCUCCAGUUUCUUGGGUUCUUUGGAAUCGUGAAAGAAUCCUUCAAGAUCAUAUUUUCCUGGAGAAAAAUCUUUAGCCAGAUAACCCUUGCUCUUAUUCUUCCUCUCGCCUUCGUCUUCCUUGCUCAUAUUCAAGUCACUCAGAUCCUUUUCUUCAAGAUCCUCAACAAUCAAGAAAGCUUAGAAUAUGGCACCAUGGACUAUGCCAAAAUCUCCCACAAAAUCUCCUCCGAGUGGACUGCCUUCUGGCUCUUCAAGAUCGCCUUCUUCACUUUCCUCCUGAUCCUUUCCCUUCUUUCUACUUCUGCAGUUGUUUAUACAAUUGCAUGUAUAUAUACUUCAAAGCCAAUCACCUUCAAGAAGGUGAUGAGUGUUGUUCCUAGAGUUUGGAAGAGACUUAUGGUCACUUUUCUGUGGAGUUUUGCUAUUGUUUUCAUCUAUAAUGUUAUUGCAGCAGCAGUAUUCAUCUUCUGGCUGGUCCUUAGUGGAGGUAACAGUGUGUUUGGCAUCGCGAUUCUUGUGCUUCUUCUGCUUUUUUACUUCUCUGGGUUCUUGUAUGUUACCAUAGUUUGGCAUUUGGCAAGUGUGGUUUCUGUUCUGGAAGAAAUUUAUGGGAUCAAAGCUAUGAUCAAGAGCAAGAACUUGAUAAAGGGUAAGAUUGGGGUUGCAGUGGCUCUUUUUAUUCUUCUUGGAAUUUGUUUUGCUGGAAUUCAACUCCUUUUUGAGGUUUUUGUGGUCCUACAAUGGCCACAAGACUUGAUAAUCAGAAUUGGAAUGGGAAUCAUUUGUUUUUUGCUGCUGUUUAAGGUGAUUCUGUUUGGGCUUGUGAUCCAAGCAGUUCUCUAUUUUGUGUGCAAAUCCUACCACCAUGAGAAUAUUGAUAAGUCCUCCUUAUCAAGCCAUCUUGAGGCCUAUCUUGGGGAGUAUGUUCCUUUAAAGGCGGCCAAUGUCCAAAUGGAACAAGUUCAAGCAUAACUAGUUAUAUUAAAAUUUUUCUUUGAAACUUUUACUUAGAGAUUAGUUGUACUAUAUUGGUUUUAUCAUAUAUUAUUAUAUGUGUAUAUAUUGCUUUCUAGUGUAACAUGUUGAUGCCAAAGUGAUGUAUAUGAUUUUCUUUUUAAAAUUUGAUUAUAUAUAUAUAUAUAUUCCCAAUUCCAAAGUUGGGUGUGGCACUCAAUUUCAAAAUAUUUUGGGUUGAAUUCUAGAUGUGUAUGAUGAUAGUAAGGA
rnacentral:misc_RNA from 1 species